GGCCUCAUAGAUCCUUUGGCUAGAGCGUUGACUGAACUAAAACCUUCCCCCUUGCCGGCGUGGGUUCAAAUCCCACUGAGGCCA
rnacentral:tRNA from 1 species